CUGGUGAAUCUGGUCCGGUUGGGCCAAAAGGUCCUCCUGGGCGGCCUGGUUUUCAGGGGCCUUCAGGUGUAGUUGGUGCUCGAGGAUUAGAAGGUGUGCGAGGGGCUCCCGGACUCCCUGGAUCACCAGGUAAAGAUGGCAAAGAGGCAAGCGAGCAUCGAAUCAGGGAGAGCAAAUAUCUCAGCUGUCUGCCAGCCUUAGACGACCAGUAGCCUCU